rnacentral:rRNA from 1 species
UGGGGAAUUUUCCACAAUGGGCGAAAGCCUGAUGGAGCAACGCCGCGUGUGUGAUGAAGGUCUUCGGAUCGUAAAGCACUUUCGACCGGGACGAAAAACCUUUGGCUAACAUCCAGGGGCCUGACGGUACCGGGAGAAGAAGCACCGGCUAACUCUGUGCCAGCAGCCGCGGUAAUACAGAGGGUGCAAGCGUUGUUCGGAAUUAUUGGGCGUAAAGCGCGUGUAGGCGGCUUGGCAAGUCAGAUGUGAAAGCCCUCGGCUUAACCGAGGAAGUGCGUCUGAAACUGCUGAGCUUGAGUGUCGGAGAGGAUGGCGGAAUUCCGCAAGUAGAGGUGAAAUUCGUAGAUAUGCGGAGGAACACCGGUGGCGAAGGCGGCCAUCUGGACGACUACUGACGCUGAGACGCGAAAGCGUGGAGAGCAAACAGGAUUAGAUACCCAUGUAGUCCCUGAGCGGGCUGGCAAGGCGCAU